rnacentral:rRNA from 1 species
AAUGAACUUAGGCUUACGGUGGAGACCUAGGCACCCAGAGACGAAGAAGGGCGCAGAUACCGGCGAAACGCUCCGGGGAGUUGGCAACAAACUUUGAUCCGGAGAUCCCCGAAUAGGGCAACCUGUACAACUUCCAACAGAAUUCAUAAGUUGGAAAGAGGCAACCCAGUGAAUUGAAACAUCUUAGUAGCUGGAGGAAAAGAAAGCAAACGCGAUUCCCGUAGUAGCGGCGAGCGAACCGGGAACAGCCUAAACCCAUUUCCAUUAGGGAAUGGGGGUAGUGGGAAGACAUUAUAAAAAAUAGAAAAUAAGAGAAAUUUCUAAUCAGCGAAGCUGUUAAAAAUUUCUUCUCUUUAAAAAUUUUCUAAAAACGAAACAGCUGAAUCCUGUACCAUAGAUGGUGAAAGUCCAGUAGUUGAAAUGAAAAAAAACAAAAUGUCUUAUCCCGAGUAGCAUGGGACACGUGGAAUCCCGUGUGAAUCAGCGAGGACCACCUCGUAAGGCUAAAUACUCCUGGGUGACCGAUAGUGAAAUAGUACUGCGAAGGAAAGGUGAAAAGAACCCUCGUAUAGGGAGUGAAAUAGAACAUGAAACCGUAAGCUGACAAGCAGUGGGAGGUUAAGAGCUGACCGCGUGCCUGUUGAAGAAUGAGCCGGCGACUUAGAGGGAGUGGCAAAAAGGUUAAGGAGAAACAUCCGGAGCCAACGCGAAAGCGAGUCCGAAAAUUCGGCGAAGAAUUUGUCAUUUCCUCUGGACCCGAACCCGGGUGAUCUAAUCAUGACCAACAUGAAGCUUGGGUAACACUAAGUGGAGGUGUGCACCGACCGAUGUUGAAAAAUCGGCGGAUGAGUUGUGAUUAUGCGCAGAAAUUGCAAUCGAACUCGGAGCUAGCUGGAUCUCCCCGAAAUGCGUUGAGGCGCAGCGGCAACGACGAGCUAUCAUAAGGUAAAGCUACUGUUUCGAUGCGGGCUGCGAGAGCGGUACCAAAUCGUGGCAAACUCAGAAUGUAUGAUAUUGCCUACCGUUAGCCAGUGAGACCCAAGGUGAUAAGAUCUUCGGUCAAGAGGGAAACAGCCCAGAUCACCAGCUAAGGCCCCUAAAUGGUUUCUAAGUGGAAAAGGAUGUGAGAGUGCAGAAACAACCAGGAGGUUUGCUUAGAAGCAGCAAUUUCCUUGAAAGAGUGCGUAAUAGCUCACUGGUAAAGCGUUCUUGCGCCGAUAAUGGCCGGGACUAAGAAACCUGCCGAAGCUGUGAGAUUCUUAUAUAAGAAUCGGUAGGGGAGCGUUCCGUUAUUGGGUGAAGUUAUGGUGUAAACCAGAAUGGACAAAACGGAAGUGAGAAUGUCGGCUUGAGUAACGAAAACAUUGGUGAGAAUCCAAUGCCCCGAAAACCGUUGGGUUCCUCCACUAGGUUCGUCCAUGGGGGGUUAGUCAGGUCCUAAGGCUAGGCCGAAAGGCGUCGUCGAUGGCAAACAGGUUAAUAUUCCUGUACUGAUUCUAUUGGGAACAAGGGACGAAGAAGGCUAAACUGAGACUACUAAUGGAUUAUAGUGGAAGCGUCAAGGUGUUGAGAGUUAGAAGAAAAACUAAACUUGAGCUGAGGCGUUAUCCCGAUAACAAUCCUUCGGGGUUGUUGUCGUCAGUGAUGUCAUGCUUCCAAGAAAAGCUUGAGCUCCAUAACAAUAGAAUUACCUGUACCUAAAACCGACACAGGUAGGUGAGUAGAGAAUACUAAGGGGCGCGAGAGAACUCUCUCUAAGGAACUCGGCAAACUGGCCCCGUAACUUCGGAAGAAGGGGCGCCUUUAAUUUCAUUAAAGGUCGCAGUAAACAGGCCCAGGCAACUGUUUAUCAAAAACAUAGGUCUCCGCAAAGUCGAAAGACUAUAUAUGGGGGCUGACGCCUGCCCAGUGCCGGAAGGUUAAGGAAGUUGGUUAGAGAGCUUGUCUCUCGAAGCUGACGACCGAAGCCCCGGUGAACGGCGGCCGUAACUAUAACGGUCCUAAGGUAGCGAAAUUCCUUGUCGGGUAAGUUCCGACCCGCACGAAAGGCGUAACGAUUUGGGCACUGUCUCAACGAGAGACUCGGUGAAAUCAUAGUACCUGUGAAGAUGCAGGUUACCCGCGACAGGACGGAAAGACCCCGUGGAGCUUUACUGUAGUCUGAUAUUGAAAUUCGGCACAGCUUGUACAGGAUAGGUAGGAGCCUGAGAUACGUGAGCGCUAGCUUACGUGGAGGCGUUGGUGGGAUACUACCCUCGCUGUGUUGGAUUUCUAACCCGCACCAUUUAUCAUGGUGGGAGACAGUGUCAGAUGGGCAGUUUGACUGGGGCGGUCGCCUCCUAAAGAGUAACGGAGGCGCUCAAAGGUUUCCUCAGAAUGGUUGGAAAUCAUUCAUAGAGUGUAAAGGCAUAAGGAAGCUUGACUGCGAGACUUACAAGUCGAGCAGGGUCGAAAGACGGACUUAGUGAUCCGGUGGUUCCGCAUGGAAGGGCCAUCGCUCAACGGAUAAAAGCUACCCCGGGGAUAACAGGCUUAUCUCCCCCAAGAGUUCACAUCGACGGGGAGGUUUGGCACCUCGAUGUCGGCUCAUCGCAUCCUGGGGCUGUAGUCGGUCCCAAGGGUUGGGCUGUUCGCCCAUUAAAGCGGUACGCGAGCUGGGUUCAGAACGUCGUGAGACAGUUCGGUCCCUAUCCGUCGUGGGCGUAGGAAAUUUGAGAGGAGCUGUCCUUAGUACGAGAGGACCGGGAUGGACAUACCUCUGGUGUACCAGUUGUCGUGCCAACGGCAUCGCUGGGUAGCUAUGUAUGGACGGGAUAAGUGCUGAAAGCAUCUAAGCAUGAAGCCCCCCUCAAGAUGAGAUUUCCCAACU